UCCUUUUUCGGUGAACAUGCGAAUGCUCCAUGCUCAAUUAGGCUCUGAGCAAUUGAGUCACUGUGUUCAUCAAUGGAGAAUAGUGCAUCUUGAGAUAAAAACUUGGUGAGAUAUUUUCAUUUGUACACAUUUAGGAUAAACCCUGAGAUUUUCGUUCGAUUCCACCAUACAAAGCAGCCGUGACAGAUACUCAAUUCUGAUGAUUUUUAUGUUUAUGCUUUAAAUAUGCUGGCUUGUUUGCAGGAUUGAUCCAAGGCCGUCCGAUACUAGUGUAUUGAGUAUGGCCGAUCAUCACCGGUCCAAUCGGGCGUGGACCGAUUCGCAUGUUGACGUGUUAUAUUGCCGAGGGGGCAGUCAGAGCGUACAUGAUAGGAUAGGCACAGACCCCCGCAUUAUUAAUUGGAUACGUGAUGCAGGUUUUUAUGAGAUAUAUCAAAUUGGCAAUAUCCAGUUGGAUUGGCAUCUUGUGACCGCGUUGGUGGAGCGAUGGAGGCCAGAGACACACACUUUCCACUUGCCGCACGGGGAGGCGACUAUCACAUUACAGGAUGUCGCAGUGUUGUUCAGGCUACUGAUUGAUAGGUUGCCCGUCACUAGUUGUACAGUUGGACCAGUACAGGAAGGAGGCGCCGGUUAGGGGGGAGGACUUCGCCGCAUGUGCGAGAGAUUGUUAGGAGUGGUGCCUCUAGAUGGUGAGCUUGUUGGUGCCCUCAUUCGCAUGCGGUUUCUAGAGGGGGAGAUGUUUCGCCAGCUUCCGGCUGAUGCUGAUGAUCACACUAUAGCGUGUCACGCACGUGCCCACCUAUGCGAUUGAUAUGUGGGACGCUGUUCUGCGACCUAUUGGGGAGUUAUGCACACUUGAUGUUCCUUCCACUUCUCUCGGAACGAGCAGAGAUACGCCAUUAUAGUUGGGGCUCUGCGACGUUAGUCUGGCUAUACUAGGAGAUAUGUCGCGCAGCUGACGUUUCCCACUCACAGAUCGGAGGAGCACUCCGCUUAUUGCACGUCGUUAGCUCCUACGCGUCACGGUCUCCGGCGUCUUAUUCAGAGGGACAAGGAGGGACACCCAAUUGACCCAGCUCCACUCGCGUGGAGAGGUGGAGGGAUCAGUUGUUGGCACCUAAUGUUGCGCAACACACGCUACCCUGAUAUAGAUUCGAGCUGGACAUGCACCGGGAGCACGAGUUCGUAUGGGCGCCCUACACUGAUGACAUUGUUGCCGACCUACCGCCUGGCUAUGCAGUUGGGUCGGACCUCUAGGUUGCCUGAGUUCCACUCAUAUGUUUUCAUAUUGUCAAGUGGCAUCUCCCAGACCGAGUGAUGCGCCAGUUUGGCUUUCGACAGGGCAUCCCUAGCCACUUCUGUACUUUGGGGGUCGAUGUACGUAGGGAGGACUUGCACGAGAUUGAUGGUCGCGAUCAGGGGAACACGGAUUGGGUUGCCGAGCAAGCGAUGUACGUGAGUAUGUGGGGACAUAGGCGGGAGUACAUCGUGGAGGGAGUGCGAGCGGAUGAGCUAAAGGGUCCAGAGGAUCCGUAUUACACGUGGUAUAGGUCGAUCACACGUCACUUCGUAGAUAGGACCGCGGCGGUCUACAUGAGCCUCGCUGACGUAUUACACCAGGUCGACUCGCUAUCAUCAGACCCCGCUAUAAGCGAUUUAGCGAAAGCUGGUUUGGACAUUGUCUACGAGGACGGGCGAUGGAUCCCUACCCCACGCCGGCCCCCGGCCCCAUGAGGUGGUCGAGGAGCUCCAGUACGAGGGGUUGAGCAGCUACCUCUAGCCGUCCAUCGAGUCCGGCCUUCUCACCGCCCAUUGUACAUGAGGAGUAUGUGUUUGGGUCGUCCACACCGUAUGCCCCAUCGACAACUGCUAAUUUUGAGGGACCUUCCAGUAGACCGGUGGAUUAUCGAUCUGACUCUGCCACGACACCAUUGAUGUCGUACUUACUAGACAACCCUCUCGAUGCGGAGGAGGUGGACGCACCCGAGUUGCCGGCUCAGACUCGUCCAGAGACUACAUAUGACAUAGCUCCCCGUCCGCUUCACCUAGAGAUAGAUUAUCCAGUACCUAUGGGCGGAGAGGACAGACAUGCAGCCUCUCGAUGUGACCGGACACCAGACGCGGACGAGCAGCCAGGUGAGGGCAGACGCAGACGGCAGCCACCCCGACACCGAAGACGAACUCCAUGUGGUACCGAGUAGGCGAUAUAUGUAUUUCUUAAUAAGUUUAUACUUUCAUUUGUACAUCAGAUAUAUGUU